GGUGGGGUAACGGCCUACCAAGGUGAUGAUACGUAGCCGAACUGAGAGGUUGAUCGGCCACAUUGGGACUGAGACACGGCCCAAACUCCUACGGGAGGCAGCAGUAGGGAAUCUUCCACAAUGGACGCAAGUCUGACCCAGCAACGCCGCGUGAAGGAAGAAGGUCUUCGGAUCGUAAAACUCUGUUGUUAGAGAAGAACAUGCGAGAGAGUAACUGUUCUUGUAUUGACGGUAUCUAACCAGAAAGCCACGGCUAACUAC
rnacentral:rRNA from 1 species